GACGAGGUGGCCGAGUGGUUAAAGGCGAUGGACUGCUAAUCCAUUGUGCUCUGCAGCGUGGGUUCGAAUCCCAUCCUCGUCG
rnacentral:tRNA from 1 species